rnacentral:rRNA from 1 species
GACGAACGCUGGCGGCGUGCCUAAUACAUGCAAGUAGAACGCUGAAGGAGGAGCUUGCUUCUCUGGAUGAGUUGCGAACGGGUGAGUAACGCGUAGGUAACCUACCUGGUAGCGGGGGAUAACUAUUGGAAACGAUAGCUAAUACCGCAUAAGAGUAGAUGUCGCAUGACAUUUGCUUGAAAGGUGCAAUUGCAUCACUACCAGAUGGACCUGCGUUGUAUUAGCUAGUUGGUGAGGUAACGGCUCACCAAGGCAACGAUACAUAGCCGACCUGAGAGGGUGAUCGGCCACACUGGGACUGAGACACGGCCCAGACUCCUACGGGAGGCAGCAGUAGGGAAUCUUCGGCAAUGGACGGAAGUCUGACCGAGCAACGCCGCGUGAGUGAAGAAGGUUUUCGGAUCGUAAAGCUCUGUUGUAAGAGAAGAAACGAAGUGUGAGAAGUGGAAAAG